GCUCGAAACCCUCAAUGCCCACACCCAGCGAGCCAGAGCCAUUUCCUUCAGCAGUUACAGUUCCUAAAGGUUCCAUAACCUUCCCAAAGAGUAGCACCAGGCUGGGGACCAAGUGUCCCAACAGAGGAACUUAUGGGGGCAACCUCUCAUUCAAAUUACCCGACUUUACUGAGUCCUUCAAGACAUACCUUCUGUUUCCACUCUGGCUCUGCAAUCUCCUCGGUGCCUUCUUACUGACAGUCGAGAAGACAUCUGGUGCUGGUGAAUGCCUCGAGAUUCCCUCUGUGACAUUGCUGGGGUAAAACAGCUGACAAGCACAACUGAAGAAAAGAAGGAUUUAUGUCAUCACAGUUUGAGGGGAUGAGACCCAACCCCACCUUGCCGCUGUUCCACACCAGAGUCUCUGAUCCAGAAACACAAGUGACAUUACAGACCCGAGACUGAGAAAUCCAGUCCUGGCUUACUCGUGUGCUGGAAAAAAAAUGUGAUUGAGGUAGCAAUUUUGAGAAGCUGAUAUUCAAUCAGGCAGGCGCUUGUGUAUGUACCGGCUUAGAACGGAUGCUGCGGGUUAUGUAAAAUGCUGUUGUGUCACGUGAUGUGUUAGUACGGAAGCCAAGAAAGACAGCAACGGAGGUUGUGAGCUGCGCACAAUUUAGUCUUGAAGACAGCUGACAGGAAUGCCGAUGUUCCGUAAUCAGAGGCCUGAGUGGAGUGUGCAGCCAGCCUCGUCCAGGUGCCUCGCCUCUGGAGAAACUGCGUUGGGUGACUCUGUCUCUCUGUAUCUUCCCGCACCGGUCAAUGAACUCCUUAAUUUUUUUUUAGUGUGUAAGAUACUUUGUGAGGAGUACUCACCCAAGCUGUGUGCCUAGUCAGCACCAAAGCAUGUGGCGGAGCAGUAAAACCUCGAUCGUUCAACAGUUGUUGGCAUGACAGUGGUUAACCUUGUGUUCAAGUGACUUUAAGAGUCCACAAAUUUAUAUUGAAAACAGGGACAGUGAUUAUAGGCAGACACUGAUGAUAACACCAACUUUAUCCUUGUCUCAGAGUG
rnacentral:lncRNA from 1 species